GAACACAUAAUUUGCGUAUGCGAAAAAUAGCCAAAAUCACUUGAAAACAAGGUUUUUAGAAAAAAAAAAUUAUUUCGGACUGAUGAUGAAGAAAGAUGUAAGGACAUCUUCGUUUAUAUUAGUGUGAAAGCACCCCGAGAAAACAAUUUUCAACUUUUCCCGUGUCUCGACAUCUACUCUGUCCAGGUAGCGCUUGUCAAAGAUCAGAUUCAUAGCGAAUAUUCUGAGAGUGAGUCCUUAUCGGUGACGAGAAAAACCCAAAACAUGUUGAUGUGGAAAUGUUCAGAGGAACGAGAGCUUAAAGAUGAUGCCAAAAAACGUUUCAUUAUUUUAGAUUUGUUUGAUACUUUUCAGAUAAAAUUUAUUACUCGGUACCCCCGGCGAACUUUGGUGAGUUGUAAUGGAUGUCCACGCAAAUGUUCCGAUCUUGUUUUAUCAUUUCUUGAUAGCUUACCAUGUGACCAUUCGAAAUAAACCAAAUUUGUCAUAAGGUACCAACUAAGUAGACCUCGAUGAGAGCUAAUGUGUGUUA